rnacentral:lncRNA from 1 species
CGCCUUCCUCGCCCAAGUUUGCUCGGAGUCCGCGGUUGAGCCGGGGCUGCAUGUGCUGGAAGCGGCCCCCCCCAUCUGCGUGGGGCUUGCCGAGUGCUUGACGCCUUAGUCCUCUGGAACCGCACCCCACACUUAACGAUGAGGACCCUGAGGCUGAGAGAGGGUCCAGCUCCGGCCCAGGGUCACGCGGGGGCUCGGCGAGUGGAGGCUGGAGAACCCCCGGGGAGCACUUGGGGACCCCGUCUUCUAGGAGCACGCCCCGCUCCCGCGGUGAAGGUGGUGAUUUUCUCUGCUGUUCCCUGACCGUGUGCCUUGGAGGUCUUGCCCGUUUUGUUUGUGCCUGGCUUGCUUGCGGUGCCCCGAGGGCUGCUGGUGCGGGCCGGAAAGGAGCCAGGCCACCCUGGGGCAGAGGAGAGGGUUUCUGUCCUGCUGUGAAAGCUGAGAUCUGACAGGAUCCGAAGCGGAGACCCCCCUCCUAUUAAAGGACGUGUUUUCUAGUCCUUACCAGCCUUGGGGAACUCGGGGGAAAAUCUCGGGGUCAAGAAACCCAUCAAAACGUUUUCAUGCCUCAGUGAAUUUUUUUCAUCUUAAUACCGGUGCUGUGACACACUGAUGUGGCCUUGGAGUGGCUCCGAGCAUUUGGCCAGAAAGGAUUCCUAGAAGACAGCCUGCCAGGGCGCCUCUUGCCAAAUGCUCUCCGGAAACGCAGAUCCAGCUUGGGCCGGUUCAACCUGCAGUGAAUGGCCUGCCUUUCCUACCUUCUUUCCAGCCCCGAAUCCUGCCAGCCGACUGGUCUUGCACGAUCUGAUCGGUAAAACGAGCCUUUCUGUCGCUUUGUUUUUAAUUUUUUUACGCAUGCUGAUGUGGAACAUCUCUCCGUUUUCUUAUAGACCAUUUGGAGAAUUGCCUGUGUCCUGGCCCAUUUUUAAUUUUUCCUUUUGGGUUGUGUGUCUUUUGCUUAUGGAUUCUGAGCACUUUGGCCGGACCUGCCCAAAGGCCACCUUCCCAUGGCUCUUGUUACGCUCAUUUGUCACUGGGAAGUCCCAGCGUCUCCCCACUUAACUGACCCACCGGAGCAACACUCUGCUUCUGCCGUCCCUGUGGGCAGGCUGAGCACAGCGUCAGAUGGGCCAGACGUCCACACAGAGGCACCUGGGCGGGCACUGGGCCCAGAGAGCCGGGGCACCCCUUUGGGACCUUCCUGUGAUCUCUGCAUGCGAAGGUGGGGUGGCCUCCAGGAGAGAUGGCCAAGGACUGGCCCGGGCCCUGAUGAGAGAACCUGUUCCUGUUCAAACUGGCACCAUCAUGAUGAAAGAACUCCCAGGAAGGAAGCUUCCUGUACCUGAGGAAGCCGGACAUGAAGGGGCUGUGGGCAUUCAGCCCUGGGCGGGAGAACACACCGGAGCCUGUGUGAGAGGCGAGCUCUGCAGAGUCUGGUCUCACGCAUGUGGCAUUUGAAUAGCAACCAUGUUUUGAGGAGCCCGACCUGACAUCCUGCUCGUGGGGCUUAUCCAGGCCCUAAGAAGAUUCCGAUGGAGGAAAAGUGUGACAAAUCGGGGUGAAUCCUGGGCUGCUGCCUCUGCUCCAAAGAGGAGGCCACAGGUGUCCUGCGGGGUGUGGGGAGAGGCCCCCUCGUGGCAGAAAGUGGGAAGCGCCGUCUGCGUGCACUGUUAGAAAGCACCUGCGUUUGCCAGUGACUUUAAGUGUCACCUCGUCUGCAGUGUGACCCUGGGAGGAAGGGGACAGGCCGAUUUUUGAAAACCACACGCUUUGCCCUUGUGUACAGAAAUCAACUCAGGGACUAGUUAAUGGCAGCUCAUGAAUAUUCACGCAUGCCAGUGCCGCCAUCUGCACACUUACCUGUCCUGCGGGUCACAGACCUGCCACACAUUGGGGGAACUGUCCCCACUCAACCUCACGCCCCGGCAAGGGGAGACAGCCCAUUGCACUGAGGGCAAUGAAACUCCGACCAACUGAAUUCAGUGUUUGAAAUUUCUAUUUCUGUGAAAUGAUGUUUAAAACGUUUUCCUUCCAAAAUGACUUUGAAUGACUUCAUUCAGUUUUGUUGAGUGUCGGGUCCUUAGCAUUUUCCUGGCAGGAUUUUUUUUAACCUAAUUCAUUACUCACGACUUCAAGGGACAACCUGACGUUCAGAUAGUCUGCUUGGAGCGUUUCAAACGAACUCAGAAGAUAAGCUUCCCGAGAUAGAAUUAAUUAUUCAGAUAGAAUUAUCCAGGGAGGAUGAGGAUUCACAAAAGAUCUGGAUAUUUUCCCGGCUGGGGUUUGAGAGGGAAAUCAUUCUCUCAUCGAGUCUUUGCAGAAAAUAAAUUGGGUGAAGAGCCUUUGUGAGGCUUGCACCUGUGGAACCUGGGCAAGAGGUUCUAGGACAGCACAGGGUGAACCCUUGCCAAAGGCAGAAACCUACUGGGCAGAGGCAAAUGUGACGAAGGCCAGAGGAAAUGGCACUGUUCAGACCAAGGCAGGAGCCCUGUCCAGCUGGCCAGGGCGGUGUGUGACAGCUUGGCCUGGGGUCCCUUGGGCAGGACUGGGCAGAGGGGGCAGAUGGGCUGCUUGGGGCACCUUAAAGGCCCAGCUGGCUCCCAAGGUCCUCAGAGGACCCCUGACCGAGGCAGGUGGCCAGCCCUUAUACUCGGCAGAGGCCGCUGGACAUGGUGUCUCUGCCCAGGAGCCUGUGUUGGGCCCCACAGCUGUCCCGGCUGUGUGCUGGUAGCAGGCUGUGCCCCUGGCCACCAGGGACCCCUGGGUGCCUCUGCUGAGGGCGCUUGGCCAGCUGUCCCAGGUCCACCGUGCUCCUUCAGGGUGUCCUUUCUGAAGCUACCACGGCACCUUUUACUUCAGAAACUGUGCCAGGAGUGGGUUCCUUCCCUCUUUAGGCGAAGAGUUUGUUAGCUGAUUCCAUCUUUCUCAGACGUUUCAUUCAGACUGCAUUCAGUGAAGAGGCUGUGGAAAAUGUGUCAGGAAUUCUACAAGUAUAGGAAACUUGAAAUAGAAAUUUAUAUGAAAAACUGAAAUAGAAAUGUAACAGGCAGGAUGGAAACGGUGGCGGCUGUGAUGAAGGAAGCAGGCGCUGGCCGAGCUCAGCACCCGGAAGUUUCUCCACUCACCCUACACGUGUACCGUGCAGAGCCAAAAACUGAGGAAGCACAUGUUUUUCAGAUCUCAACUUUUUCCUUAGAUCCAUGGAAAUUAUUCUAUUUCAGUUGUCCUCUGACAGAAAGAAGAAAGUCUACUGCACAGUCUGUGAAUGCUGGAAAGGCUCAGUGGAGCAUUUUAAAUUGUGUAUAAAAAUCUGCCUCUUAUGUCCUGAGAUACGGGAUGGGAAGUUGUGUCUCUGAGACUACUGAGGGUUUAUUGUCUUGUACAGUUUGGGGCCAUUGAAGGAGAUGGGAGACCAUCCCCUCACUUUGGAUGCCAGGCAGAGCCGCGUGUGUGCAAAGCUGGCCCUAGGGUGGACUCUCCGCAGGGGUCUGGUGAGGAGGGAGACUCCUUACCCAGGAAGCGUGCAGCCCAAGUGCCCCUUCCCUCUUCCAGGGAAACUAUAGGCUUCUGCCUGUAGUUUUUUUGUUGCUAUUGUUUGUUUUGAGACAGGGUCUCACUAUGUAGUUGAGACUGACCUGGAACUCACUAUGUAGCCCAGGUUGGUCUCGAACUCACAGUGAUCCUCCUCCUCAGCCUCCCGAGUGCUGGGAUGACAGGCGUGCGCCACCAUGCCGGCUUGCCUUUAGUUUUUUGAGGGACACUUUUGUUUCCUCCCUGAGCAUAGCCAAAGAACAGUUGUUGGGAGCCAUUCUACAUGAUUUUGGGGGAAAAUCAUUUCCCAAUUAAAUCUUGAUUAGGGCCUAGUUUUCCUGUCUGCAGCCGGCUGCAGCAUGUAAAGACAUAACUGCUUUCGCCGGUCACAGCUAAAACCUCCAUGGUCUGGUGACCCUGUAAUGCUUCAGGGCAGGGCUAUACCAGCCAGAGACAUCCCGGGAGGAGCCAGAUCUUCAUCUGCACAGUUCCUCACUGUCCUAGGAUCAUCGCUGCACCCUCUGAGUCACUUGCUACUUAUAUUUCUGCUGAUGUUCUGAAUAAAGGCGUGACCAGCUCUGGGUCUGGGGUGUUUGCUGCCCAGAGCAGCGUGGAUCAGGCCAAAGCUCAGCUUCUCCUCUAAGUCUCGUUUCUGUCUAUAAAUUAAUUAAUUCGCCUUGUGCUGUCGUGGCUCGCAGGAGACCAGGACCUGAUGCAGAGGUUCCGGUAACGUCCCUUUACCUGUUCCCCACACACAGACAUUGUUCAGAGAAGAUGACACCAUGCGGUCAUCUGUAGGUCUCACCUGCCCUAUUGUUCUGGUUGGCAGAUGAGGGGCAGAGCAGGCUGAGCUUCCCUGAGGCCCCCAGGAGAUGGUGGGCAUGGAGUGAAAACCCUCAGAACCAAAACUCACACUCCUGCUCGUCUUCUGUAGCACUGAACUGCACAACCCUUUCAGGACCUGUAGUUUCAGGGUCCAACUGAAGGGGGCCGCUGAGCAAUACCAGUGGAGGGUGAGAGAUCGACUCAUAGGAGGGUUACAAGCCCUAGACACUGUGCCCUGUACUGCCAGGGCUAAGGCGCCCUGAGGCUUUUACACAGGUGACCAAGCUGAGUGGCUAGCUGUUUGGUUAACAGCAGGACAGAGGUGACCUUUCAUGUCCUCCCCUUGCAGCCUAGCCUACAAUGCUGUGGAUUCCCCUUAAUGUGCACAGACAGACAGCAGACUCUGCGCUUUCUGUUUAGCUCAGCAUCCAAGGAAGAUGUCUGGG